rnacentral:sRNA from 1 species
UAUAAUAACAUCAUCAGAUAUAGGCCUAAGUUGUGUCUUUUUUGUUGUUGUUGUUUUAAAUGCAAUACACAGCUCAUAACUGGUUUUAUACAUAAGUAGGCUUCAGAAAGCCUUUACAUCAGACACCAUGGAGCUCUGGACUGUGUUGCUCAUACUUCUCUUGAGUCUUGUGACGUUAGUGUACGUUGGAGUCCGGCUACUCACUUACAACCACGACCUGUUCAAGAAGCUCGGCAUAGACUCACCCCCGACGUCCAUCUUCGGUCAUUUUCAUCUUGGAGUCAAGUUUGGAGUCUUCCAGUCCCAGGUCGAGAUGUACAGCCGAUACAAGAAUAAGAAGGUUUUCGGCUGGUUCAACUUCACCAUUCCAGCGAUAGUUGUUUGUGA